CCUACGGGAGGCAGCAGUGGGGAAUAUUGCACAAUGGGGGAAACCCUGAUGCAGCGACGCAGCGUGAGUGAAGAAGUAUCUAGGUAUGUACAGCUCUAUCAGCAGGGGAGAAAAUGACGGUACGUGAUUAAGAAUCCCCGGCUAACUACGUACCAGCAGGCCCAGUAAUACGUAGGGGGCAAGCGUUAUCCGGAUUUACUGGGUGUAAAGGGAGCGUAGACGGCAGCAGAAGUCUGGAGUGAAAUGCCGCGGCUUAACCCCGGAACUGCUUUGGAAACUGUGAAGCUAGAGUGCAGGAGAGGUAAGUGGAAUUCCUAGUGUAGCGGUGAAAUGCGUAGAUAUUAGGAGGAACACCAGUUGCGAAGGCAGCUUACUAGACUGUAACUGACGUUGAGGCUCGAAAGCGUGGGGAGCAAACAGGAUUAGAUACCCUGGUAGUC
rnacentral:rRNA from 1 species